AUUGAACGCUGGCGGCAGGCCUAACACAUGCAAGUCGAACGAGUGGCGGACGGGUGAGUAAUGUCUGGGAAACUGCCCGAUGGAGGGGGAUAACUACUGGAAACGGUAGCUAAUCCCGCAUACCAUCGGAUGUGCCCAGAUGGGAUUAGCUUGUUGGUUGGGUAACGGCUCACCUAGGCGACGAUAACUAGCUGGUCUGAGAGGAUGACCAGCCAAACUGGAACUGAACCACGGUCCAGACUCCUACGGGGGGGAGCAGUGGGAAAGAUAGCACAGUGGGCGCAAGCCUGAUGCAGCCAUGCCGGGUGUAUGAAGAGGGCCUUCGGGUUGUAAAGGACUUUCAGCGAGGAGGCGUUACUCGCAGAAGAAGCACCGGCUAACUCCGUGCCAGCAGCCGCGGUAAUAC
rnacentral:rRNA from 1 species